UACAGAGGGUGCGAGCGUUGUCCGGAAUCACUGGGCGUAAAGGGCGCGUAGGUGGCCCGACAAGUCUGUGGUGAAAGCUCGACGCUCAACGUCGAGUCGGCCAUAGAUACUGUUGGGGCUGGAGCACUGUAGAGGCUCAUGGAAUUCCGGGUGUAGCGGUGGAAUGCGUAGAGAGUCCGGAAGAACACCGGUGGCGAAGGCGGUUAGCUGGGCAGUUGCUGACACUGAGGCGCGACAGCGUGGGGAGCAAACAGGG
rnacentral:rRNA from 1 species